GCCGAGGUGGUGGAAUGGCAGACACGCAAGACUUAAAAUCUUGUGCCAGCAAUGGCGUGAGGGUUCGAUCCCCUCUCUCGGCA
rnacentral:tRNA from 1 species